GGCAAACAAAAUGAGCCAGCAAGGAGAAGCAAAACCGGGGAGCUCCAAAUCUGCCUUAACAGGCAUUGCAAACACUUUCAACUGAAAAACAAAAAAUAAACAGACAAAACAGCUCCAAGACAAAUGGCCAUAAAAAAUGAAAAUUGCAACUUUGGAAAUUAUGCGGCAAACCAGUUUUGAACAGCGGCGGCAUUUGGGCAGUUGCGGCGGCGCCAAUUUUCCACGGACAGUUUUCAGCGUUGGCGAACUGAACUCACAUAAAUUGACGCACGAGGCGCGCAAAAACAAUAAGAUGGGAAAAGCAUAAACAAAACGGCAGCGGAAAGACUCGGCGAAAAACAGACGCUAAAAACCUGUAGCUCAGGUGAUGACGAUAAUGAUGAUAUGAAAUAAAUGACUAGACCCCUUAAUGCUGCAAGUUUGAUCAGUGAGA